rnacentral:rRNA from 1 species
GACGAACCGUGCGAACGUUGUUCGGAAUCACUGGGCUUAAAGGGCGCGUAGGCGGUUUGCCAAGUCAGGGGUGAAAUCCUGCAGCUCAACUGUAGAAGUGCCUUUGAUACUGGCGAACUCGAGGGAGGUAGGGGUGGGUGGAACUUCUGGUGGAGCGGUGAAAUGCGUUGAUAUCAGAAGGAACGCCGGUGGCGAAAGCGACCCACUGGACCUCUUCUGACGCUGAGGCGCGAAAGCUAGGGGAGCAAACGGG